rnacentral:rRNA from 1 species
UACGUAGGGUGCGAGCGUUGUCCGGAAUUAUUGGGCGUAAAGGGCUCGUAGGCGGUUUGUCGCGUCGGGAGUGAAAUCCACUGGCUUAACUGGUGGCUUGCUUUCGAUACGGGCAGACUGGAGGUAUGCAGGGGAGAACGGAAUUCCUGGUGUAGCGGUGAAAUGCGCAGAUAUCAGGAGGAACACCAGUGGCGAAGGCGGCUUUCUGGCCUGCUCUUGACGCUGAGGCGCGAAAGCUAGGGUAGCAAACGGG